rnacentral:tRNA from 1 species
GCCUGUGUGGUGUAGUGGUUUGAGUGUUGGACUGUGACUCUGCAGACCAGGGUUUGAUUCCCAGCUCUGCCA